ACCUGGCUGGCUCAAUUGGUGGAGCAUGAAACUCUUGAUCUCAGGGUCAUGGGUUCAAGCCCCACAUUGGGUG
rnacentral:tRNA from 1 species